rnacentral:misc_RNA from 1 species
UCCGAGUUGACCCCGGCAGUCUCCUAUGAGUCCCCGCCAUAACGCGCUGGCAACAUAGAACGAGGGUUGCGCUCGUUGCGGGACUUAACCCAACAUCUCACGACACGAGCUGACGACAACCAUGCACCACCUGUAAACCGGCCGCAAGCGGCCAACACAUCUCUGCGCUGUUCCAGUUCAUGUCAAGCCUUGGUAAGGUUCUUCGCGUUGCAUCGAAUUAAUCCGCAUGCUCCGCCGCUUGUGCGGGCCCCCGUCAAUUCCUUUGAGUUUUAGCCUUGCGGCCGUACUCCCCAGGCGGGGCACUUAAUGCGUUAGCUGCGGCACGGAUGACGUGGAAUGCCACCCACACCUAGUGCCCAACGUUUACGGCGUGGACUAC